rnacentral:rRNA from 1 species
CACGUAGGGUGCGAGCGUUGUCCGGAAUUAUUGGGCGUAAAGAGCUCGUAGGCGGUGUGUCGCGUCGGCCGUGAAAACUUUCAGCUUAACUGGGAGCUUGCGGUCGAUACGGGCAUCACUGGAGUUCGGCAGGGGAGACUGGAAUUCCUGGUGUAGCGGUGAAAUGCGCAGAUAUCAGGAGGAACACCGGUGGCGAAGGCGGGUCUCUGGGCCGAUACUGACGCUGAGAAGCGAAAGCUGGGGAGCGAACAGGAUUAGAAC